rnacentral:rRNA from 1 species
UGCCUACGGGAGGCAGCAGUGGGGAAUAUUGCACAAUGGGGGGAACCCUGAUGCAGCGACGCCGCGUGAGUGAAGAAGUAUUUCGGUAUGUAAAGCUCUGUCAGCAGGGAAGAAGAAAGACGGUACCUGACCAAGAAGCACCGGCUAACUACGUGCCAGCAGCCGCGGUAAUACGUAGGGGGCAAGCGUUAUCCGGAUUUACUGGGUGUAAAGGGAGCGUAAACGGCAGGGCAAGUCUGGA